UGUCUCUGGAGGAGGAAUCGAAGAGGCAGCAGGAGGAUCCACCCAGCACCAGCGGACCAACCAUGACCUCUGACACUGACCAUCGUCAAGACGGCCCACGUCCAGUUCUCUCCAGGAUAGCGAGCACCUCUGAGGAGGAUGUUCUCUGUCCUAUUCCACCUCUCCCCCCCGGACCUGAUUCUCGGUACGAGAGAAUUGGAGGCCAAACAGGGACUUCUUUUUUACAGACCCUGAUCCACCUCCUGAAGGGGAACAUCGGCACAGGGUUGCUAGGUCUACCUCUGGCUGUCAGGAACGCAGGCCUUGUGGUAAGGGUUAGGGUUAGAAGAGGGACAUUGGGUUGCAAAAAUUCCUGGAACUUUCAAUAUAUUCCCUUGCGGAUAGUGAACGUGUUUCUGAUCAUCACCCAGCUGGGUUUCUGCUGUGUCUACUUCGUCUUCCUCAGUGACAACGUCAAACAGGUGGUGGAGGCCUCUAACGGGACAACCAUGAACUGCCACAGAAACCAGACGGCUGUGACCGUCCCCAGCUUUGACUCCCGUCUCUACAUGUUGUGUUUCCUGCCAGCUGUUAUACUCUUGGUGUUCACCCCAAACCUGAAGUAUCUGGCCCCACUCUCUCUGGCAGCCAACCUGGCCAUGUGUACUAGUCUGGUCCUCAUCUACUUCUUCUGCUUCACGAACAUCCCAAAUCAUAUCAACCUUCCCAAGGUGGGUCGUGCCAAAGACUACCCUCUCUUCUUUGGAACGGCCAUCUUUGCUUUCGAGGGGAUAGGAGUGGUCCUGCCCCUGGAGAACAAGAUGCAGAAGCCUCAGAGUUUCAAUAUGGUUCUAUGUCUGGGUAUGGGCAUCGUCACCUUCCUCUAUAUCAGCUUGGGGACCAUAGGCUACAUCACCUUUGGAGAGGCCAUAGGGGGAAGUAUCACCCUUAACUUACCCAACUGCUGGAUGUAUCAGAUUGUAAAGCUUCUCUACUGUUUCGGUAUCUACAUCACCUUUGCCCUUCAGUUCUACGUGCCAGCUGCGAUCCUGAUUCCUCCUGUGUUGUCCCGCUUCUCAGAGAGAUGGGAACUGACGGUUGAUCUCCUGAUCCGCACUGCGCUCGUAGUCUUCACCUGUGUCCUGGCCAUAUUGAUCCCCCAGCUGGACCUGGUCAUCUCUUUAGUGGGGUCCGUCAGUAGCAGUUUCCUGGCUCUCAUCUUCCCUCCACUCCUCCAGAUCCUCACCUACCACAACGAAGGUCUGUCUCCCUGGGUCAUCGUCAAGAACACCCUGAUCUCUGUCAUCGGCUUCCUCGGCUUCAUCACCGGCACCUAUAUAUCCAUCACAGAGAUCAUCAAACGCAACGGCAGACAUGACAAUCUGGAUGUGACCUUCUUCCAGGUCCAGUGA
rnacentral:lncRNA from 1 species